rnacentral:rRNA from 1 species
UACAGAGGGUGCGAGCGUUGCCCGGAAUCACUGGGCGUAAAGGGCGCGUAGGCGGCCUGAUAAGUAGGGGGUGAAAUCCUGUGGCUUAACUGCAGGGCUGCCUCCUAGACUGUUAGGCUCGAGCACGGUAGAGGCAGAUGGAAUUCCCGGUGUAGCGGUGGAAUGCGUAGAGAUCGGGAAGAACAUCGGUGGCGAAGGCGGUCUGCUGGGCCGUUGCUGACGCUGAGGCGCGACAGCGUGGGGAGCAAACAGG